rnacentral:rRNA from 1 species
GAGUUUGAUCUUGGCUCAGAUUGAACGCUGGCGGCAUGCCUUACACAUGCAAGUCGAACGGCAGCAUGAUCUAGCUUGCUAGAUUGAUGGCGAGUGGCGAACGGGUGAGUAAUACAUCGGAACGUGCCCUGUAGUGGGGGAUAACUAGUCGAAAGAUUAGCUAAUACCGCAUACGACCUGAGGGUGAAAGUGGGGGACCGCAAGGCCUCAUGCUAUAGGAGCGGCCGAUGUCUGAUUAGCUAGUUGGUGGGGUAAAGGCCCACCAAGGCGACGAUCAGUAGCUGGUCUGAGAGGACGAUCAGCCACACUGGGACUGAGACACGGCCCAGACUCCUACGGGAGGCAGCAGUGGGGAAUUUUGGACAAUGGGCGAAAGCCUGAUCCAGCAAUGCCGCGUGUGUGAAGAAGGCCUCGGUGUAAG